CAAAUAAUAUUGUUUCUCUUGUCGUGUGACUUGUUCAGUUGUACAAUAAUUUGAAGUGAUUUUAAUGCGGAUUUUGUUCACCUCGCAUGGUAUGUUGAUAAAAAUAUAGUUUAUAUAGGGCCAUUCCAUUUAAUGUCCACACCCCCCCUACGGAUGAGUUUUUCUGAAGGGUGACUCAAAAAGUCGUUUCUGAGGGGUUAAGCAUGUCGGCAUCCUUUGAUCUCUGCAAUUUUUCUGAGGGGUAAGGGGAAAAUUUACAAAUUUCUGAGGGGUGUUUUGUGUCGGCACUUUGAUCUUUUUUUCUUAGGGGUUAAAAUUUUACUGACCUCAUCCGUAGGGGGGGUGUGGAUAUUAAAUGGAAUGGCCCAUACUUAAUACUGCU